UGCCCUCAUUCCAUUUUCCUUUACUUUGCAGAAAAGAAACAAAUUCCUUUCCACCCAAAAUAUGACAGCACCUGUGGUCCAGGGCUGGAGCCCAUAGUGGAUGCCCAGCAGCCAACUUCCUGGAAUUGUGACCUCCCCAGCAGGCUUGCAGGUGAAAAGAGAGAGAAACCAGGCUUCAAAGGGGACACCAGUGCUGUGUUGGGGACAGAGCAGCACCCCACAGCACCCCCCAGCACCCCACCCUGAAGAAUGGGAGUGAGAAGAGAGGACAGCCACACACCCAAGUUGGACAGAUACAGUAGAGGAUUUGCCCAUUUUCUGGAAAGUGACCAUCUGCCCUUCAGGAGAGGACAGCAGAGUGGGGGUGAAGGAUACUCUACUGCCCUCACCCUUGACAGCCUCCACCCCAAACCUGGCUUCCUACUUCUACAUCAGCCACCACUCCUGAACCCCCAUUCCUGAUUGUCAGAAUUUUUAACAUAACUAAACAUGAAACACAAAUGCAUCUGCAUCAUGUGUGGGUGCUCUCUCCCUUUAUUGUAUUUGGGGUGAGGUUAUUUUAAGGCAUGGUCCAGGGUAAAUUCCUGUAAGGCCUGGGUGCCC
rnacentral:lncRNA from 1 species